UUCCAGCUCCAAUAGCAUAUACUAAAAUUGCUGCAGUUAAAAAGCUCGUAGUUGGACUUCUGUGAGAUUGGUUUUGUUCGUACUGCGGUACGGGCGAUACUUCUCUUACAUCCUUCUGUUAACCUUAUUCGCCUUAACCGGCGGGUUUGUGAGCUCAGAUACUUUACCUUGAGUAAAUUAGAGUGUUUCAGGCAGGCUUUCGCUUGAAUACAUUAGCAUGGAAUAAUAGAAAAGGACUUCGUUCAUUUCA
rnacentral:rRNA from 1 species